rnacentral:ncRNA from 1 species
GAUUGCACCAAUCAACAACCUCUCUGCAAUCGCGGCUG